AGGAAGAAGAAAAAAAUCGAAAAAAAAUUUAAAUCAAUUUGAAAAGAAUUAAUCACAUGUAAUCGGUUCAUAUUUUUUGAUUAAAUAUCGCAAUCGUUUCUUCACAUUGCGUGAAUCGUAUCGCUUAGCACGUGAACCGGACGAACGAUGAACAUUGACCGUGGUAAUUUCCCCGGCAAAACGUUCGCUUCGUCACGUCUCCCUGUUCUUAUUAGUUAAUGAGUUUUUGAUAUAGUGGUAUAUUAAUUUUAUCCGAUGACGUGUUAUAAAUAUAACCUGCAUUUGCACGCUUGUUUCUUUAAUGAUCCAUAACGAAGAUGCAACAAAGAAAUAAGAAGACAGAAAAAAAAAGAGACAAAGAAGAAAAUGAAUCCUAACCUAUCCCUCCAUGGAAGAACAACGAAAAGCUACAUACGUAUGUAUACAUACAAUAUUAUCAGUAGUGGGAUAACGUGAAGAAAAAGAGAAGAAUAUGAUGGAAGAGGUGAAAUCUCAAUGACCCACGGAACCACUGUCUGUAAAAACUUAUUCAGAUAUGCAAGUGUGUAGUUUAAUCCGGUUCACUCAUUUUCUUCGUCUGACAUAGUUUAAACUUCGACAAUCAUGUACCGAUUACAGAUUUGACAAUUUGUAGUAAUCGGAUAACAUAAGUUUUUAUACCAUAUAUAAUUAUUCCAACAAAACUAUUUCUAUUAACGAUGAAAAUGUUUUAUUAAUGUU